AAUGUACCUUUCUUGGCUGAUCCCUUUCGCUGUAUGGCGUGCUCGUUUGGGUUGGGCGUCGGCUAAGAGUGCUCGGAGCGUGGAUUAACUCCAGUCUCCUAUCAGUUUGAGUGACAGGUGGUGGUUAUCGUAGGCGAUUGAUUUUGGAAAUGUUUCAACUUCAACCCAUAACAGGUACUUGGAACGUUCUUCAAUGAGUAGAUCUCUUGUGAGGAUUAAAGGCUGCCGAUCGAGGAGUGUGUGAAAAGCUUGGAUCAUCGGAGUGG